rnacentral:rRNA from 1 species
AGAGUUUGAUCCUGGCUCAGGAUGAACGCUAGCUACAGGCUUAACACAUGCAAGUCGAGGGGAAACGACAUCGAAAGCUUGCUUUUGAUGGGCGUCGACCGGCGCACGGGUGAGUAACGCGUAUCCAACCUGCCCACCACUUGGGGAUAACCUUGCGAAAGUAAGACUAAUACCCAAUGACGUCUCUAGAAGACAUCUGAAAGAGAUUAAAGAUUUAUCGGUGAUGGAUGGGGAUGCGUCUGAUUAGCUUGUUGGCGGGGUAACGCCACCAAGGCGACGAUCAGUAGGGGUUCCGAGAGGAAGGUCCCCCANAUUGGAACUGAGACACGGUCCAAACUCCUACGGGAGGCA